CCGCUCACCAGCACUUGGUCUCUCCACGUGGUGCUGACCUGCCCUCUGUGAGCCAGAGAAACAGGACUGGUUUGGGGGUGUCCCAUCCGAGCAGCCGUGGGGGACCACGGUUUCCAGUGCAACA
ensembl:scaRNA